UGGGAAUUGUGAAAUCUUAUGUUUACAGUUGUAAUAAUAAUAAUGACAUAUAAAUAUAAAUAAUAUUAUGAUUGCCUUUGCGACUGAUCGAGGGAAAAUAUGAGUUCAUUUUUCUUCUGCGAAUACGUAUGCGGUGGCUAUUUUUACACAUAUUUAUGACAGAUCGUCAUGACGAUGGAUAAAGUAGCGAUGACUUGUUCGUAAGUUAGAUAUUCUGUUUUUAGUUUGUUAUUGGAAACUGCACAGAGAAUAAAGAAAUUGAUGCAAAGGCAAAUAACAUUUGACGUAAGGGAGUUUAUCACUGAGGGUUUUAAAUUGAUUUCAUAGGAACUAUGAAAGUUUGAUUAAAAUACACCGUUGCAAAAACAGUGUUAGCUAUUGUUGCAAAUUGCAGUAACACGUUCAGUUCUAAUAAGCCCCGACAUGGGCCAACAAAAAUACCUAUGAGACUAUACACUGUAGAAUAUUUUUAAACGAGAGAGGAGCAUCAGUUUGUCGUUGUACGUGCUAUCGUUCGCUUGUGAUUUUAUAAUUUACUCCAGAAAUUUUCUGUUCAAAAAUACCGAGAUUUAGUAAAAUUUCGAGAGAAGACGGAAAAAGUGCAAGAACAUAUUUGUGCAGAUCGAAAGCAAGGCCUAAUCCAAAUAAAAAAACUACGCAAGAUUGGAGGAUAGUAACCGCAUUCAGAGGGCCGAGAUCCGAGCUGAGCAGCAGAGCAGAGAAGCCAGGAUAAAGCAAAAACUUGGAAAAAAAGAGGCUGAAGACAACGCAGAUGUUGCAGAGACUUUACUUUGUGGAGCUUGGAUCGAUGAUUCUGUAUAAUUUCCGACCGCGAAACAGUGAACACCGCAAAUUGUUUUUCUUUCAAGGCGUGCUGCUGGGGCAAGCGCUGUCACCGGCUUAUUUUUCAAUAUUUCAGCUUGAAAAAAUUACGAAAUAUUGUUAAAAAUAUACUUAAUAAUGUAC